CACACUGGCAACUCAUGUGGCUCUGGCGGCUCCAGCAGCUGCAGCUCCCGCCGCCUCCUGUCCCUGAUGUCCACAUCCUGGGUGUGGGGAAAGGGGUACAGUGAGUGUCCCGCCAAAUACAGCACCCCUGAGAUGGGAGUCCAGAACUUGAAAGGAGGCACAGGAGGGCAGUAGGAGAAGAGGUCAGACCAAAAGAGAGGCUUCUCAAAACCCAAGACCUCAGAAUGAGAUACCGAGUGGCCGCCAGCACAAGUGGGCUGUUCUAAAUCAAUGGUUUUCGGAGCAAUGAAGACUUCAUGGGAGACAUGGAGGACAGGAGCCAAUGAGUCUCGGCAGCUUCCAGACACAGCCUCCGCACAGCUCCAGAGAAAAAGGUGGAGGUGGUCUCCAAGUUGGCACACAGCUGGGCCGCUCUCCCCCUCAGAGCCUGGCAGCCCCCUCACGCCCAGGCCAGAGUUUGGCACAAGGAGUGCAAUGAGGACCUGGUCCACUCGCUGCCGUGCCUCAUAUCGGUGUGCACAGGUCUAUGGGAGGAAAGGAUGAGGAUCAUUCCCCUGUGUGGACCAGGGACCCACAUGUAGACCUUCAGCAGACACCAGUUCCUGUGUGGGCACAUGCACAGCCAUGCCGGCAUCACUCGAGCACAAAGUUAGGCAGCAGCUGUCACCCUACAUCGGAGCCAGUGGCAAGAGGAUGGGAAGUAGCAGGGAAGAGAGCAUACAUUCGGCAUUCAUUAAUAACUGUUUACUGACGACCUAUCAUCUGCCAAGCGCCAUGUCAGGCCCUGCAGGCAGCCGGGUGCGCUCGCUGGACCCACACUUUAUGCGGACUCACAGAGACACCCAGUGCCUCAGCUGGUCAGCGCGCAGCAACCAGAAGCUAACAGCUGGUGUUCAGUGCUCGCCCCUCCCCCGGAGGUGAGGAGGAGGGACGGCAGCCGCCCACACAGAGCAAAGAAGCUGAGCACACAGCUACGCCCACCCAGCCCCACUCCUGAUGGAGGACAGGCCCACCUCCUUGAACAAGAAUUGCCAGCCUCUCCCGUCCCUCUACCUCUGCCCCAGCCACACACUCUCCUAGCUUCGCCCCUGAUACCCAACCACCCCAAGCCUCUGGAUAGAACAGUAGCCACAGUGCCGCCACUGCACAGAGAAAGGCAAAAAAACAUGUUGGCAGCUGCUGACAGAGGAACUGCCUGAGAGCCUGGCUAAGUGAAGGUGAAGGCGUAGCCAAUGACCACCGCUCCUUCAGCCCUCCAUACACUCCGGAGCUCUGACCCAAGCCCAGCCCUGACUCUCUCAGUCUGGGUGGCCCUCCAGGGAGGAUGCCUGGCAUGAAGGCCGGCUCAGCCUGGAGGGGCUCUAGCCAAGCCUCUCCAUGCAGGCUCACUGUUUUGCACUAAAGCUGUUCUCCAGCUCCACAGACCACGAUGCAGGAACGAUAUACUGACACUGUCAUAGCACUCACCAUGGGCCUUACACAAUUCUACACACUUCACCUACACUGACAACUCGUAAUCCCCACAACUCUGUAUAGUACUAUUAACUCCAUUUUAUGCUGAAGGAUAUAAAUGAGGCUGAAACUACCACACAGCAAAGAAGGUUAGACUUCAAAGUCUUAUCCGGGGACAAGACUGACAGACAUCAAAUCAUGUGAGCACUUCCAAUCAGUGAGUGCUGGAGAAGGCAACCUGCCACUCAAAAGUUAGGGACUGAGCAAGGUACCAGGUCUCCCAGGGGCCCCCAGACAGCAGAGCGCCCCCUGCUGGAACAAAGGCAGGGUUGGGCAGUCAGGCUCGUCAGGGAAGGCCCACUGCUUGGCUCUGAGAGACAGAAUCAGGGGCCACCUUCAGAGAGGAGGGGGAAAUGACAAGAGACCAAGCUAUUAAAAAUAACCUAGAAUUUGCCUGGAAAUAGCUCAGAGAGUUCAGCAUGUCCUAAAAAGGCCUCCAGUCCUGGAACUCUGGCAGAUGGGGGAAGGAGGGAGGGCGGGAGAAAGAGAUGACCGAGGAAGUGGAUAGAAGGUUGAAGAGAUGAAGUCCAUCACCUCUCUUUCCCAAAGUUUGGGGUACUACUGACCCUACUCCGUGAUGACAGGGAUAAUGUGAAAAAAAAGAUUAGAGACCCCUCCUCCCUGACAGGGGAAGAGAAAUGUACUCUUGUCCCCACCCUCUGCCCCCAAGCCAGCAGGAGCAGGAAGGAGACAGUCCCAGGAGGCAGCACUGAUUCCCAGGAAUGGAUACUUAGUGUGGCUUUAGGCUCUGGCCUAGGGGCAAAAAGAACACCCUGUCAGGAGGGGGUGGGAAGCUUUCUUGUGCUUUCUUGAGAGCCCUUGCCACUGUUUUGUUUUGUUUUGUUUUGUUUAAUUACACAUAUAGCUGGAGCCAGUAGCACAGGAAGCAUGGCAGUCACAGGCCCCCCCACACAAGUGUGUCCAUCUCGCAUGGGUCCUGGAAUGAUUAGAAAAUAACCAGAA